rnacentral:pre_miRNA from 1 species
GAAGUACUCCUCCGUUCGGAAUUACUUGUCACAAAAAUGGAUGUAUCUACAAGUAAAAUACAUCUAGAUACAUUUAUUUCUUGGACGAGUAAUUCCGAACGGAGGGAGUAGUUA